rnacentral:rRNA from 1 species
UACGUAGGGGGCUAGCGUUGUCCGGAUUUAUUGGGCGUAAAGAGCGUGUAGGCGGCCAGGUAGGUCUGCUGUGAAAACUCGAGGCUCAACCUCGAGACGUCGGCGGAAACCAUCUGGCUAGAGUCCGGAAGAGGAGAGUGGAAUUCCUGGUGUAGCGGUGAAAUGCGCAGAUAUCAGGAAGAACACCAAUGGCGAAGGCAGCUCGCUGGGACGGUACUGACGCUGAGACGCGAAAGCGUGGGGAGCAAACAGG